GAUGAACGCUGGCGGCGUGCCUAAUACAUGCAAGUAGAACGCUGAAGCUUGGUGCUUGCACCGAGCGGAUGAGUUGCGAACGGGUGAGUAACGCGUAGGUAACCUGCCUCUUAGCGGGGGAUAACUAUUGGAAACGAUAGCUAAUACCGCAUAAAAGUCGACAUCGCAUGAUGUUGACUUGAAAGGUGCAAUUGCAUCACUAAGAGAUGGACCUGCGUUGUAUUAGCUAGUUGGUGAGGUAACGGCUCACCAAGGCGACGAUACAUAGCCGACCUGAGAGGGUGAUCGGCCACACUGGGACUGAGACACGGCCCAGACUCCUACGGGAGGCAGCAGUAGGGAAUCUUCGGCAAUGGGGGCAACCCUGACCGAGCAACGCCGCGUGAGUGAAGAAGGUUUUCGGAUCGUAAAGCUCUGUUGUAAGAGAAGAACGAGUGUGAGAGUGGAAAGUUCACACUGUGACGGUAACUUACCAGAAAGGGACGGCUAACUACGUGCCAGCAGCCGCGGUAAUACGUAGGUCCCGAGCGUUAUCCGGAUUUAUUGGGCGUAAAGCGAGCGCAGGCGGUUAGAUAAGUCUGAAGUUAAAGGCUGUGGCUUAACCAUAGUACGCUUUGGAAACUGUUUAACUUGAGUGCAGAAGGGGAGAGUGGAAUUCCAUGUGUAGCGGUGAAAUGCGUAGAUAUAUGGAGGAACACCGGUGGCGAAAGCGGCUCUCUGGUCUGUAACUGACGCUGAGGCUCGAAAGCGUGGGGAGCAAACAGG
rnacentral:rRNA from 1 species